UUAUGUUGGAUACCAUAGCAACGCGACGCUCUCCUCGAUUGACAAUAUUAUGAAGGAACUCGAUGGAAAUAGCACUUUGUGUUUUCUGUAACAAAAAAAACAAGAUGUCCCACAAAGCUGUUAAAGUGAUUGUUGAGCUCCACCUAAGAGCGAUAACCUGUCCAGGGGUCCAUUUACCAGCCAAAGAUGAUGUUUACGUCACUGUUUGUCUAAUGAAUCAAUACAGAAAAUCUGCAUGUCUUCCUGCAGUCUUUCCAAUAAUUAUUCGUGAGAAAAUUAGGUUUGAAAAGGUAUGGAAGUGUGCAACUGAUCCUGCAGCAAUAGCUGAAUUCCUACAAUGCGAAACAGUGAAAGUUGAACUCAUUCAAUUGACGCCCCCAUGUAAAAACUACUUCAAUUCCAUUCAUUUGGGAAGAAAACUGGCCAGUUUUGAAGAAGAUGCCCGAAGUUUUCUGUUCCCAGAGCCGAAGCUGGUGCCGUCUUUCUCUGGAGUACAGAGGGAGGUAUUGAUGACACGGGAUCCCACUUUUCCUGGUAUCUCUCCAAGGUUAGAGUUCUCUACAAAGACCACGAUCGGUGAAAUAAACAACAGAGAUGGAUCACACAGUGUUCCUGCGAAGGCAAUGACAAGAAAAAGCACAAAGAAGGUCCGACAGGGUAAUGCUGAAUCCCAAAUACAUCCAUCUACUGCUCCCAGAAGCCAAACAGGACUCCAGGACAGAGACCAGGUUCAGAUGAAGGAUUCCCGGACAGGUGGAAAUUUCUCUUUCUAUCGUUCACCGACCUUUGAUAGAAGAUUAGGAAGUCUGUCACCUCAUUAUACUUCUCGAUUGAAAGAAGCAGGAAUCUGGAGGAAAAACUGUUCCAGUCCUAUUGUCUCUGAUGGGGACUCCUCAGAUACAGAUGAUCUCCUCGACUACGCUGAGGAAGUGGGCCAGCGUCAUUCCCUUAAGGAAUAUGAGGGCUCUUUCAGCCAAAGUCACCCUAGCACAGAAAGCCGGAGGCACAAUGGGUGUGUGUUUGUGUGUGUAUUCUCCAGGAUGGAUUGUAUGCAAAUUGCCACGCAGAAUUGCUCCUGGUUUGGGGAUUGAAACAAACCAUGUAAUCUAAAUAUGAAAAAACACCAUAGAGGCUUGGAGCUGGGCUUAUUUUUUGAGUUUGGCCAGUUAGCAACGACUCAAAAUGCCCUAGCAACCAUCACUCAACAUGCUUAAGUGCUCAAAGGACCGUAGUUAUUCACUGCAUAGCAACACCCAGGUAUGCACAUAAAACACAUUUCAUCGGAAAACAUAAUUUUUCACUACAUCUAUUCAAUAUGAAUAUAAAAAUCUAGAGAUAAACAGUGCAGUGAUGUUCACUGUAGUGCUUAUGAUUAUUAAAGCUUCUCAUGUUUAAGUAUGUUUUAUUUAUUUUCAGUAUGUUUUAUUUUCACAGAUCUCUCUGGGCUCUUCUGAUGCGUGGGAGGAGGUUCAAGAACGAGUUCAGAGCCUUUUAACAUCUCCUAAAGCAGUUUACAGACUGGCCUGUGGUGCCAGUGAGUCUGAGAUAGAUGAAGUGCUAAUGCGGAGAUCUAUUGUGGCCCACUCAUGUUCAUUUUAACCACCAGUGUGAAGGAUGAAGUUUUGCAGAACAUCAUUGCAUCAUUUUCCAAUAAGUGUGUGUGCUUUUGUUUUUUAGUGUGUAGUAUGAAAUGAAGCAUGUGUUCCUUGCGUUGGUACUCUUAUUAUAGCUCAGUGACAUCAAAACAGACUUUGGUGACAAUAAAUGGUCAGAUGAUGUGUUUACUAA